GGUCAGAUUGCUGUGUAGCUGUGAAGAGACGACAUGUCAUCGACCAGUGACUUUUUGCGCAGUCGAGGAGUUUCAGAGGACAUCAUCUCACUUAUGGAGGGGCAGAGGGGAGCUGGGAUCAGCAGGUCAUCUAUCACCUCUGCACUGUGGACCAACACAAAGACCACCACAUUGUCUCGGCCGCAGCAGAGAGAGGAGAGCGAGAGAAAGAGGUGGGUCAGAAGUCGAGGAAGGAUCCAGGAGAGAGAGGAGGAGCUGAAGCUGCUUCAGCAGGAGGAGGAGAACAUCAGAGAGACUGCUGAUAAAGCAGUGAUGGACAGUCAGGAGACCCUCCAGCAGCUGAUCCACAACCUCCAGAAGAAAGUCUGAUGUCGAGCAGCAGAUCAGAUCCUGGCAGGAGACUGAAGCCGUUGGAGUGCGAGGACUUCAGGAGCAGCUCCAGCAGGAGAUGAAUGAGCUGAAGAAGAAAGAUGCUGGGCUGCAGCAGCUGUCACACAGGGAUGCAGCUUCACGCUCAGUAGCCGGUGAACACGAUGCAUGCAGCCAUGUCACUCAGCAGAUGCUGACUCCACAGCUCCAUGGUCCCUCCAGAGGCCAGGAGCCCAGCGCAGUUCCUCACAUACUCACGGGACGUCGCUCUGGAUCCAAACACUGCUCACUGAAGGCUGAAGUUGUCUGGCAGCAGAGUGACGUUCAUGGGAGAGAAGCACUCUCUUCCUCCUCAUCCAGACAGAUUCAGCUCAGGUCCUGAGUGGAGGGCCUCUGACGGGACCUUGUUACUGGGAGGUGGAGUGGAGCGGAGGAGUCUUUUCUGUGGGCGUGUACCUGGAUCACUCUGCAGCGUCUCUGAAACCAUGAGCCUCCUCCACAGAGUCCAGACCACCUUCACGCAGCCUCUCCAUGCUGGAGUCAGGGUCCAUGACACGUGCGAGUUCCUGAAGCUGAACUAGUCAACAGUGUGAGGAGGACGGCAGAUCACACUUCUGCUGCUGGGUGGAGGAGCAGGUUGGAGCUGCAGGUUACUGACACAAUAAACACGGCCGAUAUUCUCACGGUUCCCGUGUCUACGUGUUUGUAUUGUCAGAACCAAGCACCACCUCAUGCACUGAACACAAAUGAGAAGAGCCAAGUCACCAUCGAGGAGAAGGUCAAUCUGAGAGUGGACGAGGACCACGCUGCCGGACCAGAACUUUCCGAGGUAGAGGGGUGAUGCUGUCCCCAACAGGCUGAGGCUGUACCUGCAUGAAGGACUGUCCCACGUCUGAGGAACAAAAUCUUCCCUGACAUGUCGGUAGGUAACUUUAUUGUGGGUUUGAGGUCUGAGGUUGAGGGUUAAGGAUUGGAAUUCACUCCAAGACCAGAGGAACCAGUGCAGUCUGCCCCUUUAGUCCCGCCCCUUUAGCAACCCAAGGUCUUCCGUGUGUUUGACUCUUAAAGGAGAAAAGACAAGAGACUCCAGUGGGAUUUUCAGCUUCAUCACAAGGUCAGAAACACACCGAGAUGAUGGAUCUGAACUCUCCACUCUGCUCCACCUUUACAACAACAGUCUUCUCCUGCUGCACUUUGAUGACUCAGCUCUUCUGCCAGUUGAUCAGGUCCAGUGUUCCCAGCUGCUCUGGGUCGGGCUGAGCAGCCGGGUGGUCUCUCUCUCUCUCUCUCUCUCUCUCUGACAGUUGCGGGGGGUGGUCAGUGGACUCAUGCUAAACCUGUGGCAACACAUUGUCUGCAGCAACAAACAGCAGCGGCGAGUGUUGUGCAGCGUUGUUCCAGUCAGAAGUGAGUCAUCGUCGGAAAGCUCUUGUGUUCUGAACCAGAUAAAGUCCUUCACGGAGGAGCUCACCUCACAUGAGCUUAUGUGCACACGGAACAAGGUGCGUGAGGACUGGACCAGGGACGGCAGCAAACUGACCUCCUCACUGGUCACAUGACUUGGUCCUCACAAACACGCCUGGACUGUUUUACCCAAGCUCAGUCACUGUGACUCACGUUCAGGGAGUCAGAGCUUCAGACUUCAGUGGUCCAGACUCAGCACCAGCGCCGUUCCUCUCUUGACCCAGUGGUCCGGGGUCAAGGCUCCAGAUUUCAGAUCCACGGCUGCCACAAACAAGUCUGCGGCCGCCGACCCCGACCGCUGCGGGGAGGAGAAGCAGGGACACACGUAGACGCCUGCGACAGGAAGAUGAAGAAAGGAAGAUGUGCACAUGUUAGAAGUGCAAAAUUUAAAAUGAAAAAACAAAAACAGAAGAAAGAAAAAACAAAGAUAAAAUAUGGAAAAAGAGGAAGAUGACUAAGAAAACAAUUUAACAAUCACUUUCAAGAACAACUGAAAACUUCUGUCUCUUUGGGCUCCUCCUUCUAUUUCUUCUUUGUCUUCUUUCUUUCUUCUUCUUCCUCUGUGGCCUCCUCCCUUCAGGGGUGAUCCUCCUCCUCCAUCUCCCCCUGUCCUCUGCUUCCUCUUCUCUCAAACCUCCUUCACCACCUCCAUCAAUCUCCUCUGUGGCCUUCCUCUCCACCUUCUGCCUGGCAGUUCCAACAUCUCAGCAUCUUCAUCUACCAAUGUACUGGCUCUCUCUCUCUCUCUCCUCUGUACAUGUCCGUGUUCAAGAACAACUGAAAACAAAUGGUCAAAAUCCAGAAAAAAUUAGAUUCAAAGCACAAGACAGUAAAGAAGUGGAAGACGACCAAAGAGUGAAUCAUGAAACGGAAAACUAAAAUCAGCAAAUAAAAACAAACAAGUUAGAGUGGUGAGAAAAGAGGAAGGAGAACAAGGCAAAACUGGACGAAGAAACUCGGCAACAGAGUCAGAGAUGAGAAAAGCAGCGGAGGACGGCGCCCGGCUGCAGCGUCUGGAGCUCCGACUCACUCCUGGGGGUCUUCUUGCGGUUGUCCGAGGGUUUGAAGUGGACGCUGGGCAUCGGGCAGAACAUCUGCAUGGGCUGGGCCUCCACCAGACAGGAGUUCUUCCUGUCCCACGCUGCCCCCUGCAGGAAGAGCCCGCGCACCAGCACGCCGUCCUGCUGAGACACGGACAGCGGCGUCACACGACCCGGUCGCUGCGGGCCGACAUGGGACAGCACCGUCACCUGCGGCGGGUGGAGCAGGUGGCUGUCGUCCACGGUGGACACGGUGAACUCCCAGGAGAGCGAGUCCACGGGCUUCUGCUGGGAACAGAGAGUCUCAGCAGGCCAGUCCAGCUGCUCAACUUCCACCUGCGCCAGUCCUCACCUGGUGUUGUCGAGCGUACGACUGCAGCACGGCGGUCAGCAGCGCCUUCGGGGAGGUGAAGCCGGACAACCAGAGGAGCGCGGGCGGCCUGCUGGUCUGGGCCCAGCGGGCCAGCUGCUCCACCCGCUGGCGCAGGUCUGAGGUCCACGCGGCCAGAGGCUUCAGUGACGGUGGUGGAACUUUGCCAUCGUGGACACAGUUGAAGAUCUCCUCCAAACCUGGUGACAUCACCUCCACUCCUGUGAUCCCGUUCUCCAGUUGCUCCAGAGACCACCUGACUCACACACACACUUUUGUCUUGAUAUCCUUGUGGGGACAUUGUGAGGUUUCUCUCCUGGCCGUCACCCUUUCCCCGGCCUCUCCCCCUCCAGGACACAUGGCUCACCUGAAGCAGGACUCUGGACCAAACUGGAGCCCAGUUAGAAUGAACUACUUUGACAUCUAAGCCUUGUGAGGACAGGCCAGAAUGUUUGUAUUUCUAUCCCUAUAGGGACAUUUCUCAUUGCCAUAAUGCUUUACCCAGCCCCUCUCUCUCACACACACAGACACACACUCUCUCUCUCUCUCUCUCUCACACACACACACACUC